UUCUCUGUUUAUGCUGAAUGAUUUUAAGUCUCAGCCUGUUGAGAACAGGCAGAAUCUUUACUUGCUCUGCUGCUGAUUUGCCCUGGCCAUCGAGCUGAAGGCCUUCCGUGAGGGAGCAGUUGGUCUAAGGCUUGCUCACAGAAUUUUCUGCCGUCUAAAAAUUAUGCCGUCUAAAGAUUACACUGAGUUUCUUUCAUUAAAGAUUUACAAAUGCCCUUUAAAUCCUAGUGCUUUUAAUGUAUGAGACAGCUGUGGAUGGCCCGGUGCCCAGCCUGUGCGUCCAGCACCCUACAGGACAGAAUAUGGCUGACCUGAGUGGUCACUGCGUGCAGCUGAAAAUGAGUGUGGUGUCACAGGAGGUUAUUUGAGGAUGAACUGAAAAUGUUCCAGGACUUGUUUCUGGGGAGGUCUCCUGUUUCCAGACUGUCCUGGUGCUCUGACAGGCUCCUGGCUGUGUGUUGUCUGUGCAGGUGUCCAGCAGGUCCCUUCCUCUUCCUUCUUUCUUUAUGUCCUUUUAGGGUUCGAUUUCAGAACUCUCUGGUACCCCAACUUACUGUUUAACUACAACAGCAGUUUGCAGCGGUUUAGUUUCAGAGGUUGUGCAAAGAUAGCAUUCUUCUGAACCACAGAGUGUGUCUGUCACCCAAAGGUGACGUCUUUAAGCACAGAGUGUGCCUGUUUAAGUCAUGGUAUUUCAAACCCUUCUUUUCUUGCAGCUUUGUGUCUCAAAGUGCCCAGGCAGGUUUGUGACCUACAUUUGUGUUCAGGCUUCCUACAGAUACAAACCCGAUCAGUGGAAUUACUUCAAGCAGUUCUGCAAGCCUGGUGUUAACAGUCCUCGCAAGGUCUGUACGUAUCAGGAGGUGAUGGAAUACUUCCAUGUGGUUGCGGUGCUGUGGCAAGUAUCCUUUAGUACUUAAGUACUCCACAGCAGUUGAGCAGAGUGUCUCAAACCGGUUCUUAAAGCUCCUGUGUUAUGUAGAGCUCCUCAGUAAUUCAGCUAGGAAAAGAAAUCUGUCUUUCACGGAACUGAUUUUGGACUCAAAUGUACUGUGUUAUUUCUCCCAUCUCUAAACCACCUUGCAAUUCAGCUAUGUUAGUUGUGUUAAAUUCUUACUCUUCUUCAAGAGAAAAGGGGGAGGCAAGGAGCAAUCGCCCAGUCAUUACUGCCUCACCUGCCGAUCCAAAGUGAAGAGGUCUUUUCUUUUUUGUCACUAGGAAAGUAAAGAAUAGUCUUUUCCCAGAUCACAUUGAGAGGCUGGAUUCUCACAUUAUGAAUAUGUCUUUCAGCUCCAGCAGUCAGGUUUGGGGAGGAGGCUACAGAGUGCAGUUUGGGGCAUUUUCUCAGAGUGGGUGGGAAGCAAAACCCAUGUAGUUAAUUCUGCUCUGUAUUCAGCAUUCCCGGUUUUCCCCUUUUUAGUCUGUUGCUCAAGCCGUACAUGGUGAAGAUUGUCCUUCGGUGAUCAUUCCAAGCAGGCCUCAUGAAUGGAUCUAUUUCUUACACACAUCUUAGCAGACUGUAAGCGUUCACAUGAAAUCGCAAUUCCAGCCUGAAAAGUGUUCUGUGGCAAGAUCACAAGGAGCUGGCUCUUACCUGGCAGUGGCAUCCGUUCAGUUUUAAACAGUUUGAGAGUAUAAAGAUUUAUCAUUAUUUUUCCUAGAGAGCCAUCCAUGGACACUUGGAGUGUGAUUGGGUCAAGCUGAGCUCUUUCUUGCUCUUGAAUCAUCACUGAUAAGAAAUGCUUUACAGUGCAAACUGUGCCUUCCAAAACAUGUGAGCGCCCAACCCAACCCAACCUGUUGGCGUGAAGGAAAUGCCACGAUUGUAGGAGCACUCAUGUGGGCAGCUGUUGAAGUUCAGGUGGUCUUGAGCCCAGUUACAGCUUAACUUGCUUUUCAGUGCUGCACGUAGUGCUGCCUAUGCAGGGAGGCAGAGGAAUUAAGGGGACAGAAAUGGUUUUGUCACUAUGGUCAGCAGGUAUUUCUGAGUAGACAAGAACAGGUCUCAGAGCUCAGGAGUAUCUGUCGCUGACCUAGAAGCUCCUGCAAAUAAGGACCUGCUGUUUAUUUUUCCAUGCUUUAAAAUAGAGAUCGUGUAAAGCAGGCACAGGCUGUCAAAAAGAGAAAAUAAUGGAUUAAAUGAUAAAAAUUUAAAAAUCUGUAUGAAAAAUGAUGUACUGACCCAAAAGAGAGAAAGUCAUUUGCAAAGAAGCUCGUAUCUUCUUUUAGGCUGCAGCCAGAGGUGAAGAUGAGAGAGGGAGGAAAAGAGACAUGUUAGUUAUUUCCUGAGAAUAACUGGGGGGUAGGUAUUCCAGGCUGAAUAUUGAGCCCAGGCAUCAGUGCUUAUUGGAACCUGAUAUGGAAAGUGCAGAACUGGUAGAUAAAGGUGAAGUACAGCUGUGCAGGAGGACUGACCUGUGCUUCCCUUUGGAAUGAAAACGAGGAAGUGGUGCAGCAAAGAGCAAGGCAAUGUAAAUGAGUAUGUGAACAUCUGUCCUUGUCUCUUUUAUAAUUUCUUCCUCCCUCUGUCUAACCAAUAGUUUCUGUCUUUUUUUCCAUUGCUUCCUCUCCAGGAAUGUCUAGGGAUAGCGGCUGGUGCUGGAGCUAACCUGGCAUAUGAGGAGCUGACACUUGCUGUUAUGUAUUGGUUUGGAUGCUAAUACUCUUCAUGAAGAAGAAGCUGCAGUUUCUGUAGGCUGCCCAGAUACUGACAGAGACUCUUAAGAGAUGCUUCCUGGAUUUGUCCAUGAGGAAUGGUGUGCUAGCCAUGGCAAAUCAGACUACAUCCAAAGGUGGAAGAGGGAAAACAAGAAAUGCAACCAAUCUCAGGGAAGCUGCAAAGCAGCAGCAUCAGUAGUGUCCUGAAUACAAGAUCAGUUGGAGUAAGAAGUUCUGAAGACUUUGCCAUUUCUUGGUACUGGAUUUUAAUGUAAGAUUCUAAUGGGUAUUUUUAUGUUUUUCCAAACUCACUUUGGAGUGUGUAGGGAAUUGAAAAACAGAUCAUGUAUGUGUUUGUUACCAAACCUGCUUUUAAACUCUGCUGUAAUGUUGUUAUGGAUCUGUACAUGAGGUGAGGAUAGCAGAGCAUACAUGCAUACAGUAUGGUCUGGAGUAGCUUUUUAAUAUCCUACCAGGCA